rnacentral:rRNA from 1 species
ACUCCUGCGGGAGGCAGCAGUGGGGAAUUUUGGACAAUGGGCGAAAGCCUGAUCCAGCAAUGCCGCGUGAGUGAAGAAGGCCUUCGGGUUGUAAAGCUCUUUUGUCAGGGAAGAAACGGUGAGAGCUAAUAUCUUUUGCUAAUGACGGUACCUGAAGAAUAAGCACCGGCUAACUACGUGCCAGCAGCCGCGGUAAUACGUAGGGUGCAAGCGUUAAUCGGAAUUACUGGGCGUAAAGCGUGCGCAGGCGGUUUUGUAAGUCUGAUGUGAAAUCCCCGGGCUCAACCUGGGAAUUGCAUUGGAGACUGCAAGGCUAGAAUCUGGCAGAGGGGGGUAGAAUUCCACGUGUAGCAGUGAAAUGCGUAGAUAUGUGGAGGAACACCGAUGGCGAAGGCAGCCCCCUGGGUCAAGAUUGACGCUCAUGCACGAAAGCGUGGGGAGCAAACAGGAUUAGAAACCCCUGUAGUCC